AUUGACUCUCUUAUCAGACAAGAUUACCCGCCGAAUUUAAGCAUAUUACUANGCGGAGGAAA
rnacentral:rRNA from 1 species